GAACGCUGGCGGCAUGCCUAACACAUGCAAGUCGAACGCUAUUUAUAGAGUGGCGCACGGGUGAGUAACGCGUGGGAACCUGCCUUUUUCUGCGGGAUAACGAUUGGAAACGAUCGCUAAUACCGCAUACGCCCUACGGGGGAAAGGUCCGCCGGAAAAAGAGGGGCCCGCGUCUGAUUAGCUUGUUGGUGGGGUAAUGGCUCACCAAGGCUACGAUCAGUAGCUGGUCUGAGAGGAUGAUCAGCCACACUGGGACUGAGACACGGCCCAGACUCCUACGGGAGGCAGCAGUGGGGAAUAUUGGACAAUGGGGGCAACCCUGAUCCAGCAAUGCCGCGUGUGUGAUGAAGGCCUUAGGGUUGUAAAGCACUUUCACUGGUGAAGAUGAUGACGGUAACCAGAGAAGAAGCCCCGG
rnacentral:rRNA from 1 species